rnacentral:rRNA from 1 species
GCUUAACACAUGCAAGUCGAGCGAGAAUCGUUUUGCUGAAGGCUUCGGUCUGACGCAGAAUGAGGAAAGCGGCGAACGGGUGAGUAACGCGUGGGCAACCUGGCCUUAAGAAAAGGAUAGCCCCCGGAAACGGGGAGUAAUACUUUAUGAGAAUAGAAAAGGGCAUCCUAUUUCUAUUCAAAGCGCAAGCGCUUAAGGAUGGGCCCGCGUAUCAUUAGCUAGUUGGUGAGAUAAUAGCCCACCAAGGCAACGAUGAUUAGCCGGUUUGAGAGGGCGAACGGCCACAUUGGAACUGAGAGACGGUCCAAACUCCUACGGGAGGCAGCAGUGGGGAAUAUUGCGCAAUGGAGAAGAACUCUGACGCAGCAAUACCGCGUGAGCGAAGAAGGUCUUCGGAUCGUAAAGCUCUGUUAUCAGGGAAGAAGAAAAUGACGGUACCUGAUGAGCAAGUCCCGGCUAACUACGUGCCAGCCGCCGCAGUAACAC